rfam:Planctomycetales bacterium 71-10 scnpilot_p_inoc_scaffold_529, whole genome shotgun sequence.
CCUGGGGCCCGCUCGACAGGUGCCCCCGGCCGAGAACGCUCGGGGGGGAGAAUAGGGAAGCCGGUGCGAAUCCGGCGCGGGGCCGCCGCUGUAAUCGGCGAGGCUUCGGACCACAGGGCCACUGCCCCUCGCGGGGCGGGAAGGUCGUCCGAGGCCGUUCGAGCCGAGAGCCAGAAGACCUGCCCGUCGAGAGCUGCGAGG